GAUGAAGAACGCAGCGAAAUGCGAUAAGUAAUGUGAAUUGCAGAAUUCAGUGAAUCAUCGAAUCUUUGAACGCACAUUGCGCCCGCUGGUAUUCCGGCGGGCAUGCCUGUUCGAGCGUCAUUUCAACCCUCAAGCCCCCGGGUUUGGUGUUGGGGAUCGGCUCUGCCCUUCUGGGCGGUGCCGCCCCCGAAAUACAUUGGCGGUCUCGCUGCAGCCUCCAUUGCGUAGUAGCUAACACCUCGCAACUGGAACGCGGCGCGGCCAUGCCGUAAAACCCCAACUUCUGAAUGUUGACCUCGGAUCAGGUAGGAAUACCCGCUGAACUUAAGCAUAUCAAUAACGGAGGA
rnacentral:misc_RNA from 1 species